AAGUCGUAACAAGGUUUCCGUAGGUGAACCUGCGGAAGGAUCAUUAACACGUAUCCAAACGUAAAAAACCCCCCCCGUGAACAUUCAAUCCUGCUCUUGUAACCCGCGUAGUUCGCAAUCUCUGGUAAAUCAUAGCCCGGAAAGUAGUUUUGAUUCAGAGACCUCUGGCUACGUGAGAACAUUGGAACAGUUACAAUCGAGCGGUAGUUUCAUAGGCAUUGUUUCCCCAAGCAGUCAGGCGCGGAAAGUGUCACCGAUUGUGCAAGGAUAGCGCUUCAACGAUUCCUGUAGACCGUACACUCGGGCAGGAGCUAUGCCAAAGGGUCCCCAUGACAUUGGGUAAAAAAACCGAACAACUGUUAACAAUGGAUAUCUUGGUUCUC
rnacentral:misc_RNA from 1 species